UUCCGGUUGAUCCUGCCGGAGGCCAUUGCUAUCGGAAUCCGAUUUAGCCAUGCUAGUCGCACGGGUCAGACCCGUGGCGAACAGCUCAGUAACACGUGGCCAAACUACCCUGUGGACGGGGAUAAUCUCGGGAAACUGAGGCUAAUCCCCGAUAGGGCUUCCAUCCUGGAGUGGAGGAAGUCCGAAAGGUUGCGCUGCGGCACCACAGGAUGUGGCUGCGGCCGAUUAGGUAGACGGUGGGGUAACGGCCCACCGUGCCAGUAAUCGGUACGGGUGAUGAGAGUCAGAGCCCGGAGACGGUAUCUGAGACAAGAUACCGGGCCCUACGGGGCGCAGCAGGCGCGAAACCUUUACACUGCACGACAGUGCGAUAGGGGGAUUCCGAGUGCGAGGGCAUACAGUCCUCGCUUUUCUGGAUCGUAAGGAGAUGCAAGAAUAAGGGCUGGGCAAGACCGGUGCCAGCCGCCGCGGU
rnacentral:rRNA from 1 species